GAAUAAGCAUCGGCUAACUCCGUGCCAGCAGCCGCGGUAAUACGGAGGAUGCGAGCGUUAUCCGGAUUUAUUGGGUUUAAAGGGUGCGUAGGCGGUUUAUUAAGUUAGUGGUUAAAUAUUUGAGCUAAACUCAAUUGUGCCAUUAAUACUGGUAAACUGGAGUACAGACGAGGUAGGCGGAAUAAGUUAAGUAGCGGUGAAAUGCAUAGAUAUAACUUAGAACUCCGAUAGCGAAGGCAGCUUACCAGACUGUAACUGACGCUGAUGCACGAGAGCAUGGGUAGCGAACAGGAUUAGAUACCCUGGUAGUCCAUGCCGUAAACGAUGCUCACUGGCUCUAUGCGAUACACAGCAUGGGGUCAAGCGAAAGUAUUAAGUGAGCCACCUGGGGAGUACGUCGGCAACGAUGAAACUCAAAGGAAUUGACGGGGGCCCGCACAAGCGGAGGAACAUGUGGUUUAAUUCGAUGAUACGCGAGGAACCUUACCCGGGCUUGAAAGUUAGUGACGAUUCUGGAAACAGGAUUUCCCUUCGGGGCACGAAACUAGGUGCUGCAUGGUUGUCGUCAGCUCGUGCCGUGAGGUGUCGGGUUAAGUCCCAUAACGAGCGCAACCCCUAUCUUUAGUUGCCAUCAGGUCAAGCUGGGCACUCUAAAGAGACUGCCACCGUAAGGUGAGAGGAAGGCGGGGAUGACGUCAAAUCAGCACGGCCCUUACACCUAGGGCUACACACGUGUUACAAUGGCCGGUACAGAGGGCAGCUACUUAGCGAUAAGAUGCGAAUCUCGAAAGCCGGUCGUAGUUCGGAUUGGAGUCUGUAACCCGACUCCAUGAAGUUGGAUUCGCUAGUAAUCGCGCAUCAGCCAUGGCGCGGUGAAUACGUUCCCGGGCCUUGUACACACCGCCCGUCAAGCCAUGGGAGCCGGGGGUACCUGAAGUGCGUAACCGCGAGGAGCGCCCUAGGGUAAAACUGGUGACUGGGGCUAAGUCGUAACAAGGUAGCCGUACCGGAAGGUGCGGCUG
rnacentral:rRNA from 1 species